CCUACGGGAGGCAGCAGUGGGGAAUAUUGGACAAUGGGCGAAAGCCUGAUCCAGCGACGCCGCGUGGGUGAUGAAGGCCUUCGGGUUGUAAAGCCCUGUGGGGAGGGAAGAAAACACCGCGUUCGAAUAGGGCGCGGUCUUGACGGUACCUCCUUAGCAAGCACCGGCUAACUCUGUGCCAGCAGCCGCGGUAA
rnacentral:rRNA from 1 species